rnacentral:lncRNA from 1 species
GCGGGGAAUGGGUGCGGCCUUGCUCUAAGAAGUUUAACAUCUGGUGAAGACAGGUGUUCUGAAAAUUAAUUUAAUAAAUAGCCACCUAAGACUGUUGUGAUAAGUUCUACAAAGGAUGCCAUUCAGGACCAGGGAAAUCUGCCUGCCUCGAAAGUUGUGGAGCUGCCUCGCUUGCUCAAGUCCUAGAGGAAAGAUCCUUACCUCGAGGUCCAGAGAGUGAGCGAGCCAGGUGGAAGACAGAAGCAGGUUUCCCGUGGAGGGGACAGCGGCGGUGACGCUUUGUGAUCAGCAAGAGCUGGCGACAGAGAGUAGAAAUCACAAAGCAAGCCAGUGAGCUCAAGGACAAGAGGGGACGGGUGUGAGACCACGCCACUCAGAGGGCUCAGGGUCGAGGUGUUUCUCUCCGGCUCAACCUGAAGAGGAGCCAUCACCUUGCUCUUUGCUCCUCUGUGUGCUUCCAGUGCCACACACACUGACGUGGACCCGGGUGGCAAUGCUGUGGCCCCUUCUGUCCUAUGGACUUAAACACAGACUCGGAGGUUUUUGCUUUUAUCCCCACGUGGUGACAGAAAUAGAUGAUUCACGCACAGCACCUUCUAGAGCACUCCAAUUUCAUUCUGCAUCUCGUGAGAGCUCACAUCUCAUGUGGAACUCCGCAUUUUAACACUCGUACAAGGUGUGGCUUCUCAGGAUGUGGCCUCAAAGUGAAGAAAAGCAUUUCACUGUGUCUGAGACUCUGGGGGUCAAGCGACCUGCUUGCUGUGAACAAGGGGGCCGGCCCUGCAGUCUGAUCCUGCAGCACAUGGAACUCCCUCCCGCCCCGCACCGCCAGCCUGAACUGAACCAGCUGACACCUCCUUCCCUUCGUCUUCAUGUCUGCAUCCCCAGUACUAACGUGCUUGACAAUGAUAGGUGCUUAAUUCAUUUCUAGGGAAUGGAUGGAGGAUGCCACUGAAUUAUUCCAUACUUAACAGAAUUCCAU